rnacentral:rRNA from 1 species
UACAGAGGUCUCAAGCGUUGUUCGGAUUCAUUGGGCGUAAAGGGUGUGUAGGUGGCGCGCUAAGUCGGGGUGUGAAAUUUCGGAGCUUAACUCCGAAACUGCAUUCGAUACUGGCGUGCUUGAGGACGGAGAGGAGACUGGAAUUCAUGGUGUAGCAGUGAAAAUGCGUAGAGAUCAUGAGGAAGACCAGUGGCGAAGGCGGGGUCUCUGGGGCCGAUACUGACGUGGAGGGAGCGAAAAGCGUGGGGGGAGCGAACAGGG